CCAAAGGACUUCUUAAAGUCCAUAAAAAUUCCCUUCAAACACCUCU
rfam:Helianthus annuus linkage group 11, whole genome shotgun sequence.